rnacentral:rRNA from 1 species
GACGGGGAGCACCACAACGGGUGGAGCGUUGCGGUUUAAUUGGAUUCAACGCCGGAAUCUUACCGGGACCGACAGCAAUAUGAAGGCCAGGCUGAAGACUUUGCCGGAUUAGCUGAGAGGUGGUGCAUGGCCGUCGUCAGUUCGUACUGUGAAGCAUCCUGUUAAGUCAGGCAACGAGCGAGACCCACGCCCACAGUUGCCAGCGUACUCUCUGGAGUGACGGGUACACUGUGGGGACCGCCGCUGCUAAAGCGGAGGAAGGAAUGGGCAACGGUAGGUCAGUAUGCCCCGAAUAUCCCGGGCUACACGCGAGCUACAAUGGUUGGUACAAUGGGUAUCUACCCCGAAAGGGGACGGGAAUCUCCUAAAACCAAUCUUAGUUCGGAUUGAGGGCUGCAACUCGCCCUCAUGAAGCUGGAAUCCGUAGUAAUCGCGUUUCAACAGAACGCGGUGAAUACGUCCCUGCUCCUU